UUUCCAUGAUGAUACUUUGUCCAGUUCUGCUACUGAGUGCAAGUGGUGAUAAUUAAGACCCUGAGAAA
rnacentral:snoRNA from 1 species